GAUGAACGCUGGCGGCGUGCCUAAUACAUGCAAGUCGAGCGAACGGACGAGAAGCUUGCUUCUCUGAUGUUAGCGGCGGACGGGUGAGUAACACGUGGAUAACCUACCUAUAAGACUGGGAUAACUUCGGGAAACCGUAGCUAAUACCGGAUAAUAUUUUGAACCGCAUGGUUCAAAAGUGAAAGACGGUCUUGCUGUCACUUAUAGAUGGAUCCGCGCUGCAUUAGCUAGUUGGUAAGGUAACGGCUUACCAAGGCAACGAUGCAUAGCCGACCUGAGAGGGUGAUCGGCCACACGGGAACAGAGGCACGGUCCAGACUCCUACGGUAGGCAGCAGUAGAGAAUCUUCCGCAAUGGGCGAAAGCCUGACGGAGCAACGCCGCGUGAGUGAUGAAGGUCUUCGGAUCGUAAAACUCUGUUAUUAGUGAAGAACAAAUGUGUAAGUAACUGUGCACAUCUUGACGGUACCUAAUCAGAAAGCCACGGCUAACUACGUG
rnacentral:rRNA from 1 species